rnacentral:piRNA from 1 species
UACUGCUCAGGGUGAAUGCAGCUGGUCUC